UGUACACUGCAGAGAGCCUCACAACCACAAAACCAGCAAUAAUUUUAUAAAUGAUAAGCUUGUUUUCCUCCUCCUCUUCCCAGAUACUCCGAGUGCAGCAGACAGCAGAGAUGUGCAUUGCUGGAAUCCAGAGUGUUUCGUAAUUUGGCAGCCACUUGCUGAAAGCCCUGCAGAUACAAAACAACACUUAUUUCAAGUCUUGAGAAACAUCUACUAAGUAGAAGAAAAAAGCAUUUAGAGCAUGUUUCACCUCUAUAUGUGCUGACAAGAUCAGAAGUGCAGGGUGCCAGCAUGACUGUGACUGUGUUGAACAGUGCACACCAGUGCUUUCAGAAAUACAGUGGGAUCCUCAAGCUGUAUGCAAAAGACAAGAAGGAGAUGACCCUAUUCAGUGUGAUGAUUUUUCUUUCACUGCUACAUAUGUAA
rnacentral:lncRNA from 1 species